rnacentral:tRNA from 1 species
GCGGGAGUGGCGAAAUGGCAGACGCGCUGGAUUUAGGUUCCUGUGCCUUAGGGCGUGUGGGUUCAAGUCCCACCUUCCGCA